rnacentral:lncRNA from 1 species
CACACUUGGUUAAAGAAUCACUGAAUUAGCUGCUGGCACACUGACCCUCCCUUAGGGCAGGCAGGAAACUUGCUUUGUACUGCUCAGUAGUUCAACCCAAGUCUGCUUAGAAAUCAUGGGCUCCUAUCUUUGGGGUGAGCUCUAUCUGUGGGCCCUCGGGUGUCCUUUCAGUAACAGACAGCAACUUAAGUUCUAUGGAAACGAAUUUCAACUGAAACAAAUCCACAAAGUGGAAGAGGUUCCAAAGUAGAGUAUGAAUGCUAAGUGGAUGACUCGUGGACUCAUUUAAGGCUUCGAUUCUUGCCUCAAUUUUAACCGUAAUUAUUCAAGAAAACUCAGCUGAUUCCCCCUGCCCUGGUCUUUUUUUUUUUUUUUAAGCAGGGAGACUCAGCAUCCAACAGAAUUAACACCUGUGCUUCUAAAGUCUUCAGGGAUUCUAGUCGAGAGGUUCUUUGAAGAGAGGUGGAGAAUCAGCGGUGCAGCACAAGCGAGACCCCAAAGUGAGAAUUCCACCCCUCCUUAGGACUUGAUGAGGGAAGCAAAAGAUGCGCUUUGGCCAGGACGGGCCUAAGCCUUGCCUCCAGGGCCAUCGACGCCCUGCCUAUCUGUGCCUCGGGGUUCCGACGCACCUUGGGACAUCAGCCUGGACGCCUUAGGCGGCAGAGCCUCCCUUUCCCCUCCCUAGAGCUGGAGGGCCUCUGCGGGGCGUGGAAUUCCGCCGUCGUCCGCACCUGCGGCCCAGGGGAGCUUGCGUGCAGGUUCACAUUACUUGGUGUCAAAAGGGGUAUUUGAAGGAGUUGAAUCCCUAAAGAACUAACGAUCCUGGGAAUCAUGCCUGGUACCCACUUGAUCCCCUUGUGUUCUCCACUCUUUUGGUCUGGUAAGUCUCCUCUCAGAUUCAAGCUCAUUCCUUUUGAUUGAGCUCUCCAGCUUUUUAGGGGGAUCUGUUUUUGUUUUCUUGACACUAUAGCCCUCUGUGUGAGCACUCAUUUGUUUUCUGAACCUCUGGUUUUGACAUAUAGAAUCUCGAUUCUCUAAAUUCUCUCAGGAGAGUCCUCUUCUGGGACCACGGCUUACUUUGUGUUCAAAAACUUUUGCAUAUUUUCAACUAAAUGGACCAACUUAAUAAAAAAUAGUUUAGAACUCCAGUGGUCACUAUGGGGAACUUUCAAGCUCUUCAUUACUGAUAACUGUACAUGUAUUAAACCACUGGUCUGUGGAUAAAAUAAUAAUGUUUAUGAAUCAAUACUGGUGAGGAAAUAUUAAUAAGGCCUCAUGAAGUGCCUACUUUGCUUGUCCCACCUGUUCUAAAUGUACUCCUGGGCAACUGUCUGCACUGCCCCUGAAUACUUUAUUUAAAAAAAAUUUUAACAUUAAAACAUUUUAAAUUUUAUAUUGGCGUAUAGUUGAUUUACAGUAUUGUGUUUCAGGUGUACAGCAAAGUGAUUCAGAUAUACAUGUAUCUAUUCAAAUUCUUUUUUCUGAACAUAUAUGAAAUGAUAUUUAUUAUAUGAAAUUGGCUUAAGCAAUAUGGUGGCUAGUAAGUGCAAAUCUGCUGCCCUUUGUGAACAAGCCUGAUAAGCAGUCUCCAGCCACCCCUCAAUCACUUAAAAUUGCUCAACUGACCAUUCAAAUUUUUGGCAAAUAAAUUUUAUACAACUCCCCUGUCUCAUGGAUAUAUAAUAAAUAUAUUUUGUCAGACAUUUAUAAUGUCUAUUUUUGUUAUAUUUUAUAUUGGACUCUUAAUUCAGUGAUACAAUAAAGGAAGGGUAUGAGGAAAUAGACUCUUCUAUUUUUUUCAAGGGAGUACAAAUUGGUAUGAUAGAAAAGGAAGGCAAUUUACCAGCAUCUGUUAAAACUAUAACUGUAGCACGGACACAACUGAAACGACUGAGCAUGCCUGCAUGGCAUUUUGGCCUAGGAACCCC